AAUGUGGACUGUGGUACAUUUCACUUAUUAAAAUGCGGUUGAAGCGAUUCCUAGACAUUGGGUGAAAAAAGAUGUUUAUGGUUGGCCAAAAAACCCAUUAAAUCUAGAACGCUCCUUAAUAAAUAUAAUUUUGAUUAUUUUCCUUCAAGAACAUUAAAAGAGGCAUUGAUUUUACUGAUGAUUUUUGUGGCUUAAGAAAUAGCUAGAAUGAUAUUCCUGAAACUCUUCUAAUACUUAUGAAACAUUGCAAAUGUCUACUGUUGUACGUACAACUUCAUCACCAUUUAAAUUACUCCGUUAGAAUUUAACCAAUAUAAUGAAAUCACUGAAGAAAACAAUCCUAUAAA